GUCUUUUUAGUAUAAAAAUAUAAAUGACUUCCAAUCAUUAGAUCUUAGAUAUCUAAGAAAAGACA
rnacentral:tRNA from 1 species